rnacentral:ncRNA from 1 species
CUGGGUUGAUAGGCCAGAUGUGGAAGCCCGGUAACGGGUGGAGCUGACUGGUACUAAUAGGCCGAGGGCUUGUCCUC